GGGGAAUAUUGCGCAAUGGCCGAAAGGCUGACGCAGCGACGCCGCGUGGGGGAUGAAGCAUUUCGGUGUGUAAACCCCUGUUGCCCGGGACGAACAAGCAGACUUUUCUGCUCUGACGGUACCGGGUGAGGAAGCACCGGCUAACUCCGUGCCAGCAGCCGCGGUAAUACGGAGGGUGCGAGCGUUGUCCGGAAUCACUGGGCGUAAAGGGCGCGUAGGCGGUCUGCUACGCGUGCGGGGAAAGCCCGGGGCUCAACCCCGGGUCUGCCGUGCGAACUGGUGUACUAGAGCACUGUAGAGGCAGGGGGAAGUCCGGGUGUAGCGGUGGAAUGCGUAGAGAUCCGGAAGAACACCGGUGGCGAAGGCGGCCUGCUGGGCAGUAGCUGACGCUGAGGCGCGACAGCGUGGGGAGCAAACA
rnacentral:rRNA from 1 species